rnacentral:rRNA from 1 species
AGGGUGUAAACGCUGCAGACUUGGUGUUGGGGGCCCUUUGGGGGCAUUCAGUGCCGGAGAGAAGUUGUUAAGUCUGCUACUUGGGGAGUACGUCCGCAAGGAUGAAACUUAAAGGAAUUGGCGGGGGAGCACCGCAACGGGAGGAGCGUGCGGUUUAAUUGGAUUCAACACCGUAAAACCCACCAGGGAAGACUGUUACAUGAAGGCCGAGAUGAAGACUCUGCUAGAUUUUCAGAGAGGUGGUGCAUGGCGUCAGUGACU